AACGGCCAUACCAUGUUCAAAAAACCCCGGUUCUCAUCAGAUCAUUGAAGUUAAGCAACAUUCGGCAGGGUUAGUACUUGGAUGGGUGACCGCUUGGGUACAUUACGUGCUGUUG
rnacentral:rRNA from 1 species